UACGUAGGGCGCAAGCGUUGUCCGGAAUUAUUGGGCGUAAAGAGCUCGUAGGCGGCUUGUCACGUCGGUUGUGAAAGCCCGGGGCUUAACCCCGGGUCUGCAGUCGAUACGGGCAGGCUAGAGUGUGGUAGGGGAGAUCGGAAUUCCUGGUGUAGCGGUGAAAUGCGCAGAUAUCAGGAGGAACACCGGUGGCGAAGGCGGAUCUCUGGGCAGUAACUGACGCUGAGGAGCGAAAGCGUGGGGAGCGAACAGG
rnacentral:rRNA from 1 species